GUGCCGGAACUAAAAGACCUAUAGGUACGGGAGUGCACGCAUUAUGGGAAAGGUGGGCAAUGGCCAGCAGCAAUUUGAAAACUAACAAGACCGAAUACCCAAACCACAAGCGGUCAUUUAAUCCGUGUUAAUCCGUCGCAGAUAUAUCUGCUCUGGUUUAAAUAGUGGAGUAAUUGAUCGGCGAUUAAUCACAUUCAUUUAAACCACGUUGUCUUUUCAUGUUUCGUGCACGAAAGCGUUGAUUCAGGGGUGAUAUAGAGUUAGUUGGAUCACAGAGAAACAACUUGCGCGAAACAUGAAGUUUCAUAUAGGCUAUAUUUCCUGUUGACGUCAGAAGAGGAUGAGGUGCUUAUAAUUUAAUUGGAUUGAUAGAAGUACUAGUACUCUGGCCUGAUAUACGCUGUUUCGUAGCUGAACUAUAUCAAUAAUAUGAUAUCUUAUCCGGAUAAAAUUUUAAUUAAAUUGUGAAAAACUUA